ACUAGACAUUCAGAUCUGGCAAGGUUAUAUGGCGUAUAGGGAAGUUAAUUUCAGUUCAUCACCUUUUUGGAUUCAAUUUCAUGAUUUACCUUUAGGGGCAAUGGAUGGGGGAAAUGCAGUGAAUUUGGGUUCAAUGAUUAGUAAGGUUGUUAUGAUAGUGGUUCCGAGAAGAAAUGGUUUGCUGGUGAGGAAUUUUUUGAGGGCAAGGGUCUUAGUUGAUCUGAACGAACCUUUAAUUACUGGUAUGUGGACCGAGAGGCCAAGGAAGGAUCCAAUAUGGGUUAAGGCGAGGUAUGAACGGUUGCAGCACUUUUGUUUUUGAUGUGGCAGAUUUGGUCACGAUCAGAGAAUUGUUUGGCUAAUAGAGAUGGUAGUGAUGAUGACAAGAAUGGGAAUUAUGGGAACUGGUUGAGUGUUCAGGCAGCCAGACCAAUUGAAUGUAUUUUGAAGUGUUAUAAGGAAGAUUGGGAAGAGUUCGUGGCAGACGGAAGGUAGAGAAAACAAGAGGAGAAGUCAAUUGAAAGUGCGACAGUGAGAGAAGCUGAGGUAAAUGAAAUUUAUAAGAACGAGAAAGGGAAGAUGCAGAUUGAGGAAAGAAAAAAGAAGGAAGGAGAGAGAAAGGGUUUAGAUUUGAAGUCUGUUUUGACUAGUGAAGAACAGAAAAUUGCUGAGAUUGAAAUAGUGGUGUUGGAUAAGGAAAAUAAAGGCGAUUUGACAAGAAAUAAAGAAAAAGAGGAAGUUAAUUCUGGUAUUUCAUCAGAACAGAGAGAGGAUUUAUCUAAAGCUAUAGUGGUGUAUGGUAAUGUCUCGCCAUUAACUGAAGUCACGAAGGGAUUGAACAGAAUUUUAGCGGAUGAGGAAGGGAUACAUUUUAAUAAAAGAAUAAAGCUGUGUUUUGAAGAGGGAGAUUGCUCUGGAAUCAAGAAUGAGUAGGUGGCAGAGAAGAAGGUAGGAAGAAGAAAUGUUAUAACUUUUAAGAAGAAGGGAAGAAGAUUAAAUGAAAGUGGGUCAGAUCGUUAAAAAGAGAUGAGCGGUGUGAGGGGGGAAAUACAAAUUUUGAAUAAAGAGACAGUAAAAAGGAUGAGUGAUCUUUUGGCCGAAGGUUUUGGUGGUUAGCCUUCAACAGCCACCAAUGCACCGUGAAGAUAAUUAGUUGGAAUUGUCAAGGCUUGGGAAGGGCCCUGACAAUGAAUAAACUGAGGGAGGAAAGUUUGAAAUUUAAGCCCUCAGUAAUCUUCCUAAUGAAGACAAGAUUAAAAGGAAGGAGGAUUGUUUCUCUUAGAAGAAAAUAUAGAGCAGAGUAGGAAUUUUAUGUAGAACCAAGAGGUAGGAGUGGUGGUUUGGCUUUGUCCUGGUCUAAUGAAGUAAUGAUUAAUGUUUGGUACUAUUCAAAAACCAUUAUUCAAGUGAGUUUGGAUUCUACAGUACUGAGAGUUCCCAAGUACAUCACCUUUGUGUAUGGUGCACCUACUGUUGAGGAAAAGAUGAAAGUUUGGGAUAAGAUGAGAAGUAUAGCAGCUCGCAUAAAUGAGGCAUGGCUUUGUUUAGGUGAUUUUAAUGAUGUAGCCUCAAGGUAAGAGAAGUUGGGUAGGUUUCCAGUAGAUACUUGAAGAUUAUUGAAUUUCCAAAAUAUGUUAGCGGAUUAUGAAUUGCUCGAUUUGGAGUUUCAGGGUGCAAAAUGUACAUGGAGUUAUAAGAGUUUGGGGAGUGAGAAUAUGAAGGCAAGAAUAGACUGAGCAGUAGCUAAUGCAGAUUUCAGAUUUAUGUUUCAGAGCAAUUUGGUUAGUCAUAUUGAGCCGGUGGGUUCUGACCAUCAGAUGCUUAUAGUUGAUUGUGAAUACAAGUAUAGAAGAGUGCCUAAAGUCUUCAGAUUUGAGUCUAUAUGGGCUGAACAUGAUGAUUUUUUAACAGUAGUAAGAAGAGGAUGGAGAAUGGAAGAAAGUACUUGGGGAACUAAAGUGCUGGAUGUGGUUUGCAGAUUAAAAAAUUGUCAGAAGAUGGUAGAGCAACUCACUUUGAAGCUGGUGGGAUGCAAUGAAGGAGUUAUGGAUGAAAUAAAAAAGGCAGAAGCAGAAAUGUUGCUUAAGCAGAUUGAAGAAGCAUGGGAUCGUGAGGAAAAAUUUUGGUGGCAGCACUUAAGAAUUAGUUGGCCCAAGAAUGGUGAUAGAAACACUAGUUUCUUCCAUUCGAGCACAAUUCAGAGAAGACUGAGGAAUAAAGUGGUAAAAUUGCAGAAUGAAAACAAUGAUUGGUUAGAAAAUGAGGAGGACAUUAAUGAUGCUUUUGUUGAGUUUUACACAGACCUUUUUGCCUCAGGUGGAAAGGGUAACAUGGAGGAGGUACUGAGGUACGAAAAAAUAUAUAACUGAGAAAGAUAACCUGGGACUUGAGAAAAUGAUUACUUCUGAUGAAGUUAAGUUAGCUGUAUUCCAAUUAAAUGGUGCGAAAGCACCAGGACUUGAUGGAUAUUCUGGUUGUUUCUAUCAUGCUGCAUGGAAUGAAGUGAAUGGGGAGAUUUUUCAGAUGGUACAUGAUUUUUUUCUUUAUAAUACCAGUUUGGCACCUAUAAAUAGUACUAAUAUAGUGCUGAUCCCUAAAGUUGAACAUGCAGAAAGGGUAGGCCAGUUUAGACUGAUAGGGCUUUGUAAUUUUUUGUGUACAAGAUUGUUUCAAAAAUCUUGUCUGAUCAAUUGAAGAAGUUGCUGAUGAGAAUUGUUUCAGAAAAUCAGAGGGCAUUUGUGGUAGAAAGGUUAAUUCAGGAUAAUAUUCUCAUUGCUCACAAGGGCCUUUCAUUAUUUGGAAAAUAAAAAGAAGGGGAUAAAGCUAGGGAUGGCACUGAAAAUUGACAUGAAUAUAGCACAUGACAGACUAGAAUGGCAUUUUAUUGAAGAGGUCAUGAGAAGGAUGGGGUUUGGGGAAAGGUGGAUUUAGUGGGUCAUGGAAUGUGUAUCUUCUGUAAAUUUGAAUUUAGUGGUGGCUGGAAAGAAGAUAGCAAAUCUGAAAAUGGAGAGGGGAAUUAGACAGGGAGACCCCCUAUCUCCAUAUUCAUAUUGACUUCUGAUAUGCUUUCAAGGAUGGUGCAAUGGCAUGCGGACAGAGGGAAGCUGAAAGGCGUCAAAUUAGCAAGGAAUGAAGCUGCUGAUCAUCUUGCAGCUGUUACUUUGAGAAGAAUGGUUCCGUCAAGUUGGUUAACUCAGCCACCAUCUUCUCUGUUGCUGGUUUUGCAAAGAGACCUCCGUAGUCUGGCAAUCUCUGGCAGGAAUAGGACUGGUGUGGGCUCAUUAGUUGGUUCUGAUUGUAUUUUUUAGCUGAUAUUGGCUAUUACAGGUUAUUGGUGAUUGUAGUUUUCCCUUUGAUUUUGAAAUAAAAUGACUUAUUAUUCAACU